AGAGUUUGAUCCUGGCUCAGAUUGAACGCUGGCGGCAUGCCUUACACAUGCAAGUCGAACGGCAGCACGGGGGCAACCCUGGUGGCGAGUGGCGAACGGGUGAGUAACAUAUCGGAACGUGCCCUGGAGUGGGGGAUAACUAGUCGAAAGAUUAGCUAAUACCGCAUACGAUCUACGGAUGAAAGUGGGGGAUCGCAAGACCUCAUGCUCGUGGAGCGGCCGAUAUCUGAUUAGCUAGUUGGUGGGGUAAAGGCCUACCAAGGCAUCGAUCAGUAGCUGGUCUGAGAGGACGACCAGCCACACUGGGACUGAGACACGGCCCAGACUCCUACGGGAGGCAGCAGUGGGGAAUUUUGGACAAUGGGCGCAAGCCUGAUCCAGCAAUGCCGCGUGAGUGAAGAAGGCCUUCGGGUUGUAAAGCUCUUUUGUCAGGGAAGAAACGGCGGGGGCUAAUAUCCCUUGCUAAUGACGGUACCUGAAGAAUAAGCACCGGCUAACUACGUGCCAGCAGCCGCGGUAAUACGUAGGGUGCAAGCGUUAAUCGGAAUUACUGGGCGUAAAGCGUGCGCAGGCGGUUGUGCAAGACCGAUGUGAAAUCCCCGGGCUUAACCUGGGAAUGGCAUUGGUGACUGCACGGCUAGAGUGUGUCAGAGGGGGGUAGAAUUCCACGUGUAGCAGUGAAAUGCGUAGAGAUGUGGAGGAAUACCGAUGGCGAAGGCAGCCCCUGGGAUAACACUGACGCUCAUGCACGAAAGCGUGGGGAGCAAACAGGAUUAGAUACCCUGGUAGUCCACGCCCUAAACGAUGUCAACUAGUUGUCGGGUCUUAAUUGACUUGGUAACGCAGCUAACGCGUGAAGUUGACCGCCUGGGGAGUACGGUCGCAAGAUUAAAACUCAAAGGAAUUGACGGGGACCCGCACAAGCGGUGGAUGAUGUGGAUUAAUUCGAUGCAACGCGAAAAACCUUACCUACCCUUGACAUGGCAGGAAUCCCGGAGAGAUUCGGGAGUGCUCGAAAGAGAACCUGCACACAGGUGCUGCAUGGCUGUCGUCAGCUCGUGUCGUGAGAUGUUGGGUUAAGUCCCGCAACGAGCGCAACCCUGGUCAUUAGUUGCUACGAAAGGGCACUCUAAUGAGACUGCCGGUGACAAACCGGAGGAAGGUGGGGAUGACGUCAAGUCCUCAUGGCCCUUAUGGGUAGGGCUUCACACGUCAUACAAUGGUACAUACAGAGGGCCGCCAACCCGCGAGGGGGAGCUAAUCCCAGAAAGUGUAUCGUAGUCCGGAUUGCAGUCUGCAACUCGACUGCAUGAAGUUGGAAUCGCUAGUAAUCGCGGAUCAGCAUGUCGCGGUGAAUACGUUCCCGGGUCUUGUACACACCGCCCGUCACACCAUGGGAGCGGGUUUUACCAGAAGUAGGUAGCUUAACCGCAAGGAGGGCGCUUACCACGGUAGGAUUCGUGACUGGGGUGAAGUCGUAACAAGGUAACCGUA
rnacentral:rRNA from 1 species